GGAGCUGUGGCUCAGUGGUAGAGCAUCUGCUAGCAAUGCAGAAGGCCCCAGGUUCAAUCCCUGCCAUUUCCA